GCCAUUGACUUUGUAGUUGUAAGGUCCCUUUUUAGUUGUAACCUAGAAAAACUUUUGCUACCGAUGUUUUCGACUUUAGACAGUGAAAUGAUUGAAAAUUAAUUUCGAAUCAGAGAUGACUUGGUCCCGAAUCACAUAUUUUGAAGGAAGAUCAGUGGAUUUGUUGCGAGGAAAAUCAUUUGUCAGAAUGGAAUUCGUAAAUAUAAUGUUUCACUUUGCCGACACAAGUGCGGAUAGAGUGCGAAACAAGUGAUGGAUGCGAGUUUGAAUGUAAUGAAAAAAAGAUAAUAUUUUGUGCAGGAUGUACAAGUGAGAUGUAUUUCGAACAAUGAGUGAUUUUUCUCAGCCUAAUUUCGCCGUUGCUGAAGACCACUGGCAGUCCUUUUAAGAGAGAGAACACCCUGCUUCAAGUAUUGAGUUUCCAGCUGGUGGUAAACUACCCUGUGGGGCGAUAUGUCGUCACUUCCUGAGGGCGGUUCAUUCGAGGCAGGAAACGUAUGGAAAUGUGCAAAUUGACAGAAUGCGACAUCCAGCUUUAUCAUUCGUCACGUAGGAAGUGAAUGACCUCGUGUUCAUCAUUUGUAUAUUAACCGUGAGGAUUUUUGAAAGAGCGUUACUGAAAACGACUGGCAGUCUUCUAAUAAGAGGGAAUACCCUGCUCCAAGUAUUGAGUUUCCAGCUGGUGGCAAAGCACCUCGCGGUGCGGAAUGGCGUUACCCCUUAAAGGCGGUUCGUUCGAGAUUCCCGUCACCCCCUGGGAGGUUUCAGGGGCCCUUAACGAGCACUGUCCAUCCGGGAUUGUUUCCUGCAUCAAACGAGUCCACAAAGGUCCAGCAUACGUUACCGGACCCACGCAAUGCCAGGGAUAAUCGAUGAUUUACGUUCCGCACUCUUGGCAGCAAGUGCUCUUCUUGAUCGUACAAGUUGUCAAACGAUUUGACAUUACCCCGUCAAUUCGAGGCCCGUUACGUGAUUUAAUGGAUGCACGGCGGUAGGAAAAGUGAGGAUGGCCCAGCUAGUGGUAUCCUCUCUGCUCCGAGAAUCCGCAUUUACGUCGCCUUUGAAGACCUGCAUUACUCUAAUUACGCAGAGCGGAUUGCAGGGAGGAGAUUAUAGAGAGACCAGCCCAUACAUUGUUAUAAAGUAUUAUUCUUUUUCCCGAUUCGACAGAACGUUACAGGUGAUAACAAGAUUUAGGGAUGAAGGAAAUAUUUAGAUUCUGGUACUUGUAGCCUUUUUUUAAAAUGGAUUUACCUAUCCGGGCAUACUGGCGGUAUUACAGAAUGUGCGCUCUUGUUCAUGAUUACGCGUUUAAGCGGUAAUUAAGGGGCGGACGUGCAGCUUGGCGGGAUUGCUUGCCGAAGCUUUCGGUUGUUUCCGGCCCGAGGAAGGGUUAACUAACGAUGUAACGACAAGUGCGGAUGUCUCGGAAGUUGUCCGACUUACCAAUCCGAGGAAGGGGAAACUAAUCGCUCGUUAGGGGACAAUUCGGCAGCGGUAAUGCGUCCUCGGUGGUGGAGUUCUACCGACUGUCUCAUACCGACUACAAGUGCUCCAAUUUCCUCCGAGCUCAGCACGGGAUCACAUCUGGAUUCAUUGCCAGGGCCAUUAGUGAUCAGCCCUUAGAGAUUUACAGCUCGCAGAGAAAAUGGCGUUCCACGUUUGAAUAUGCAAAAAUUAGGAAGGUUGCAUCGCAAGCCGAAUAUAUCAUUCGAUGUCAUGGGAUUUCCCUUGAAUUUAUUAUGAAGACAAUUGGCGUCCUUCAGAAGUUUCAGGCUUACAGGAAUUGCGUCUUUUGGAGAAUUGAAAAAAAAGAAGAUAUCAUCGUAAGCAAGAUAUUGCACUUUUUAUUCACGUCGCGCAAUGGAUUCGAGCUGUUUUGCUGAGGACAGGAUGGGAGUCAUUGAAUGGUUUAUGACGAACGUUCGCAAUUGUUUUAAACGAGAAAAGCCAGCACGGUUACGUCUCACUGGUUCGAAGUAAUUCAUCGUUGACUGAUAAAACUGAUAUGUAUCAAGGAAGUCGAGUCAACUAAUGAAAACAAGAGCAUAAGUCUUUGGCGGUAAGAAAUAACGAACAUCGGGAGAGAACGACUAUUUCACCGUAAACAUUUUCGAUUUCUGUAACUUU